rnacentral:rRNA from 1 species
GACGAACGCUGGCGGCGUGCUUAACACAUGCAAGUCAGGGGGCGGGGUAACCCGUCACCGGCGAACGGGUGCGGAACACGUGAGCGACCUGCCCUGGUGUGGUGGAUAGCCGGCCCAACGGCCUGGUAAUACCGCAUACGGCGCCCGCUUGGAAGCGGGAGGCGAAACUCGCAAGAGGCGCUAGGAGGGGCUCGCGGCCUAUCAGCUAGUUGUUGCGGUAUCGGCGCACCAAGGGGAUGACGGGUAGCUGGUCUGAGAGGAGGGCCAGCCACAUUGGGACUGAGAGAGGGCCCAGAAUACGACGGGAGGCAGCAGGGGGGAAAAUUGCGCAAUGGGUGAAAGAAUGAGGCAGCGACGGCGCGUGGAGGAUGAGGCGCGUCGGGGUGUAAACUCGUGUUGAACGGGACGAAGGCCCCGAAGAGGCGGGGUUGACGGUACCGGGUGAGGAAGCACCGGCUAACUAUGUG